rnacentral:rRNA from 1 species
CCUACGGGAGGCAGCAGUGGGGAAUAUUGGACAAUGGGCGCAAGCCUGAUCCAGCAAUGCCGCGUGAGUGAUGAAGGCCUUAGGGUUGUAAAGCUCUUUUACCAGGGAUGAUAAUGACAGUACCUGGAGAAUAAGCUCCGGCUAACUCCGUGCCAGCAGCCGCGGUAAUACGGAGGGAGCUAGCGUUGUUCGGAAUUACUGGGCGUAAAGCGUACGUAGGCGGUUAUUCAAGUCAGAGGUGAAAGCCCGGGGCUCAACCCCGGAACUGCCUUUGAAACUAGGUAGCUAGAAUCUUGGAGAGGUCAGUGGAAUUCCGAGUGUAGAGGUGAAAUUCGUAGAUAUUCGGAAGAACACCAGUGGCGAAGGCGACUGACUGGACAAGUAUUGACGCUGAGGUACGAAAGCGUGGGGAGCAAACAGGAUUAGAUACCCUGGUAGUCCACGCCGUAAACGAUGAUAACUAGCUGUCCGGUCACUUGGUGACUGGGUGGCGCAGCUAACGCAUUAAGUUAUCCGCCUGGGGAGUACGGUCGCAAGAUUAAAACUCAAAAGGAAUUGACGG